rnacentral:rRNA from 1 species
UACGUAGGGUGCAGGCGUUAAUCGGAAUUACUGGGCGUAAAGCGUGCGCAGGCGGUUUGCUAAGACAGGUGUGAAAUCCCCCGGGCUUAACCUGGGAACUGCGCUUGUAACUGGCAAGCUUGAGUGUGGCAGAGGGGGGGUGGAAUUCCACGUGUAGCAGUGAAAUGCGUAGAGAUGUGGAGGAACACCGAUGGCGAAGGCAGCCCCCCUGGGUCAACACUGACGCUCAUGCACGAAAGCGUGGGGAGCAAACAGG